CCCAUCAGGGAAGGGCCCGUAAAAUACUUAACGUAUUAUACUUAGUUUUAUACAUGUAUAAUACACGUAAAUUACCGGUUGGGUUUCUUACGUGACGUAUUUUACGUUAGGUAUUUCAACACCAUCUACCGAACUUUUGAUGAACUUAAAUUAAAUUAUAAUAUCAUAAAGAAAAAAAUAUGCAAAGAGGAGGUCGACCGAAGCACAGUUUUUGGGAAGAAGGAGAAUUUCAGCGUAUUCGUGAAAACGGAAAACAAGUUGCAUCAUGUGUAAAGUGUAAAAAAAUAAUGAAUAAUACCGCUGAACAACGAUUGAAGAGUCACAGGAAGUCGCGUAUUUGGGAAAACUCUGAUUCAAUUUCUGAAUCUGAAGAUAACUGUAAUAUAACAUUGUCUAAAAAACGAAGAAAUCUUUAAGUAACUUUUUUUAUAGUAAUAAUUUAUCAUUUGAUCUAAUUCAAGAUCUUUAUUUUAAAAAAUUUUGUAAAAUAUUACGGCCUGCAUAUGAAGUCCCUAGUGAAGUUAAGUUAUCGACAACUUUACUUGAAAAAGCUCACGAUAAAUUUACUGAUCGUAAACUAAACUUGAAGGAGAAAAAAGGAACAUUAUUAUUUUGUAAAAAUGUUGUUCAAACAAGUGGCUUAGAGAUUAUUGCUAUAACAAGAACUGGAAAUGAUACAUUAUUUCUAAAGUCUUGGAUCUUGGGAGAAGAAAGUGAUUAUAUAAGUAAUUAUUUGCAAAUGAUUAACGAGUCAAGCUCGAUCGCACUUAAAAAGUAUUAUAUAUCAGUGUAUGCUGUGAUAUCAUUUAUAAACAUACCAAAAAAUAAUCGUAUUCUUGAUUCCACAUCAGCAUCGUAACUUCCAUCGGAAUCUAUAUCUAUGUGGCACUUUAAUUGUCAUUUAGAAACUGUCGAUACACUUAUGCAGCAAUUCACGAUGAUUCUUUAGAAAUCAAAAUUAAUCGUCUGUUAAACGCUAUAAAAAGUACUGAUGUUGAAAAAGAAUUAGUAAAACGAGGUGGAGAUACUCUAUCAGCUGUCAAACAAGAUGCUCAGUUUUUAUACUAUUCCAAAUUAUCGGUAUGUCUUAAUAAUUUACCUCUCCUACGUCAAAUUCUUGGUGAAGGAUUGGGAAAGUUUAACCGAGAAACGACAUUGUACAUAUUCGAUGAUGUAUUUGAGAAUAAUUUAAAAGAAUCUGUAUCAGUAUUCGAUUUUCUUUCAAAAUUUAUAACUAGAAAUAGUGGAAAUGAUUUUAAUAUUGCUGACGCCAUCGAGGAUUGGUUUAAAUUAAGAUUACUGAUAAAAAAUGAUUAUUUUUAGACAUCAUUGACAAUGAAUUAAAAAAAAUCAUUACUCCCCAGGCGUUGACGGCAAAUUUUUUGCAUCCAUUAUAUAGAGGUAGUUAUUUCAUGAAAAUUAGUAAAUAUAGUAAUAUAGUUUAUGAAUUUUUGAUUGAUGAACUAGAUGAUACAGGAUUGCAGGAAUUAGAGUGUUUUAAAAAUUCUAAAGGUUUAUUUGUAAAGUUAAUUACUAAAUCUACCUGUUCAAAAACUUUUUGGAGUAUAUAGCUUCAGAACAAAAUCCAAAUCUUAGUAUGUUGGCUCAAUCAUUAUUAAAAAUACCAGCAUGUACGAUAAAAUUUAAUCAGUAUGACUUAGGUAAAAACUUACCAGAAAAAUUAGUUCCUAAGUUCACUGGUGUUUUUUAUAAUCUUAAAUUUAUGAAUGCUAAUUAACAAAGAAUAUAAUAUAUAAAUUUUCA